CGACUUUUAGUUUGCCUUCCCGAAACUAAGUGAGCUACUUUAAAGCAGCUAUUAGAGCUAACCCGUCUCUGUCGCAAAAGAGUGGGGUGACUUUAAAGUAGAGGUGAUAGACCUACCGAACUUAGAGAUAGCUGGUUUUUUAAGAAAAGAAUUUUAGUUCAGCCCCAAGCCUUUCGUUAAGCAAAAAACCUUCUUAGGCCUGGGAGUCAUUCAUAUAGGGCACAGCCUAUUUGAAACAGGAUACAACCUAGAAUAUAGGGUAAAACAAUGUGAUUUUUCUAUAAGUGGGCUUGAAAGCAGCCACCUUUCAAAAAGCGUUGUAGCUUAUUGAUACUGAUUAUUUAAUAACCUCAAAAAUGUUUAACCCAUACACACUAUUAAACUAUCCCAUAAAUUUAUGGGAGCUAUCAUGCUAGAACAAGUAACAAGAAAAAGAUUUUUCUCCAAAAUACAAGCUUUAGCCGCUACAGACAAACUACCGGCAAUUAACGCCUUUUAACUAAUUUUAGUAACUCUAACAAGAAAACCCU
rnacentral:rRNA from 1 species